rnacentral:rRNA from 1 species
GACGAACGCUGGCGGCGUGCUUAACACAUGCAAGUCGAACGGUAAGGCCCUGCUUUUGUGGGGUGCUCGAGUGGCGAACGGGUGAGUAACACGUGAGUAACCUGCCCUUGACUUUGGGAUAACUUCAGGAAACUGGGGCUAAUACCGGAUAGGAGCUCCUGCUGCAUGGUGGGGGUUGGAAAGUUUCGGCGGUUGGGGGUGGACUCGCGGCUUAUCAGCUUGAUGGUGUGGUAGUGGCUUACCAAGGCUUUGACGGGUAGCCGGCCUGGGAGGGGGAGCGGCCACGUUGCGCUUGGAAUGCGGCCCGGACUCCUACGGUAGGCAGCGGUGGGGUGGAGUGUACAGUGGGCGGAGGCCUGACGUAGCACCGCCGCGUGCGGUGUGAGGGCCAGCGGUUUGUAAUCCACAGCCGCCUGUGACGAGGCGUUAGUGACGGUAACGGGUAAAGAAGCACCGGCUAACUACGUG